rnacentral:rRNA from 1 species
AUGGCACAUUGCAAAAAGAGUUCGGCUGCCUUCUACUUCUCCUUGAGCACCGAUCAAUGGCAAGCUGCUGUACCUAAGGAUUUAAAUGAUUUGGCCCUUGGCAAGGGCAAUAUUCACAGGCGCCAUUAUGCUUAUGGCUGUUUCUACUGGGACUGGUUGAAUUUCGGGAUGAAAAAGUUGCUCUUGCUUGACACCGUGACGAUGGAGUUCUCCACUGCUGACCUCCCCCCAGGAGGAUGGAGCAAGCAAGGUAUAGCCAUUGUGGAGGCAGGGGAAGGCAGGCUUGGGAUGUUUGGUUUCCACCGUGAAACUGCAUCCGAUCUAAGCUAUACCGUUGCACAGAACAAAGGCAAGAGUCCCAGCCAGUGGCAGAUGGAGAAGACAAUCUCACUAGAUUCUGGGUACAAAUAUUCUAUCGAAGAUGCAACACAGAGGUACUUGCUCUUUACAAGGAUUGAAGCCUCAUCUCUAGAGAAUUGA